AGCUCUACAUCGAUCAAAUGAACACAUUACGCUGACUCACAAUCGGUUGACCGACCGACAAUCGGUUAUUAUCAACCAACAACGGACAACUCGGUUAACCUCCGAUGGAAGACCAUCGGUAUAUCAGAGUUACCGAUUGAUGUUCAUUCGGAUCUCCAGGACUACCGACUUACCACUAUUACUGACAUAUAGUCGGCCUAUCUUCUCAACCACCUAAUUGUUAUAAAUGAUUAUCGAUUACAUG
rnacentral:lncRNA from 1 species